AGCGUACACGGUGGAUGCCCUGGCAGUCAGAGGCGAUGAAGGACGUGCUAAUCUGCGAUAAGCGUCGGUAAGGUGAUAUGAACCGUUAUAACCGGCGAUUUCCGAAUGGGGAAACCCAGUGUGAUUCGUCACACUAUCAUUAACUGAAUCCAUAGGUUAAUGAGGCGAACCGGGGGAACUGAAACAUCUAAGUACCCCGAGGAAAAGAAAUCAACCGAGAUUCCCCCAGUAGCGGCGAGCGAACGGGGAGGAGCCCAGAGCCUGAAUCAGUGUGUGUGUUAGUGGAAGCGUCUGGAAAGGCGCGCGAUACAGGGUGACAGCCCCGUACACAAAAAUACACAUGCUGUGAGCUCGAUGAGUAGGGCGGGACACGUGGUAUCCUGUCUGAAUAUGGGGGGACCAUCCUCCAAGGCUAAAUACUCCUGACUGACCGAUAGUGAACCAGUACCGUGAGGGAAAGGCGAAAAGAACCCCGGCGAGGGGAGUGAAAAAGAACCUGAAACCGUGUACGUACAAGCAGUGGGAGCACAGAGCAAUCUGUGUGACUGCGUACCUUUUGUAUAAUGGGUCAGCGACUUAUAUUCUGUAGCAAGGUUAACCGAAUAGGGGAGCCGAAGGGAAACCGAGUCUUAACUGGGCGUUAAGUUGCAGGGUAUAGACCCGAAACCCGGUGAUCUAGCCAUGGGCAGGUUGAAGGUUGGGUAACACUAACUGGAGGACCGAACCGACUAAUGUUGAAAAAUUAGCGGAUGACUUGUGGCUGGGGGUGAAAGGCCAAUCAAACCGGGAGAUAGCUGGUUCUCCCCGAAAGCUAUUUAGGUAGCGCCUCGUGAAUUCAUCUCCGGGGGUAGAGCACUGUUUCGGCAAGGGGGUCAUCCCGACUUACCAACCCGAUGCAAACUGCGAAUACCGGAGAAUGUUAUCACGGGAGACACACGGCGGGUGCUAACGUCCGUCGUGAAGAGGGAAACAACCCAGACCGCCAGCUAAGGUCCCAAAGUCAUGGUUAAGUGGGAAACGAUGUGGGAAGGCCCAGACAGCCAGGAUGUUGGCUUAGAAGCAGCCAUCAUUUAAAGAAAGCGUAAUAGCUCACUGGUCGAGUCGGCCUGCGCGGAAGAUGUAACGGGGCUAAACCAUGCACCGAAGCUGCGGCAGCGACGCUUAUGCGUUGUUGGGUAGGGGAGCGUUCUGUAAGCCUGCGAAGGUGUGCUGUGAGGCAUGCUGGAGGUAUCAGAAGUGCGAAUGCUGACAUAAGUAACGAUAAAGCGGGUGAAAAGCCCGCUCGCCGGAAGACCAAGGGUUCCUGUCCAACGUUAAUCGGGGCAGGGUGAGUCGACCCCUAAGGCGAGGCCGAAAGGCGUAGUCGAUGGGAAACAGGUUAAUAUUCCUGUACUUGGUGUUACUGCGAAGGGGGGACGGAGAAGGCUAUGUUGGCCGGGCGACGGUUGUCCCGGUUUAAGCGUGUAGGCUGGUUUUCCAGGCAAAUCCGGAAAAUCAAGGCUGAGGCGUGAUGACGAGGCACUACGGUGCUGAAGCAACAAAUGCCCUGCUUCCAGGAAAAGCCUCUAAGCAUCAGGUAACAUCAAAUCGUACCCCAAACCGACACAGGUGGUCAGGUAGAGAAUACCAAGGCGCUUGAGAGAACUCGGGUGAAGGAACUAGGCAAAAUGGUGCCGUAACUUCGGGAGAAGGCACGCUGAUAUGUAGGUGAAGCGACUUGCUCGUGGAGCUGAAAUCAGUCGAAGAUACCAGCUGGCUGCAACUGUUUAUUAAAAACACAGCACUGUGCAAACACGAAAGUGGACGUAUACGGUGUGACGCCUGCCCGGUGCCGGAAGGUUAAUUGAUGGGGUCAGCGCAAGCGAAGCUCUUGAUCGAAGCCCCGGUAAACGGCGGCCGUAACUAUAACGGUCCUAAGGUAGCGAAAUUCCUUGUCGGGUAAGUUCCGACCUGCACGAAUGGCGUAAUGAUGGCCAGGCUGUCUCCACCCGAGACUCAGUGAAAUUGAACUCGCUGUGAAGAUGCAGUGUACCCGCGGCAAGACGGAAAGACCCCGUGAACCUUUACUAUAGCUUGACACUGAACAUUGAGCCUUGAUGUGUAGGAUAGGUGGGAGGCUUUGAAGUGUGGACGCCAGUCUGCAUGGAGCCGACCUUGAAAUACCACCCUUUAAUGUUUGAUGUUCUAACGUGGACCCGUAAUCCGGGUUGCGGACAGUGUCUGGUGGGUAGUUUGACUGGGGCGGUCUCCUCCUAAAGAGUAACGGAGGAGCACGAAGGUUGGCUAAUCCUGGUCGGACAUCAGGAGGUUAGUGCAAUGGCAUAAGCCAGCUUGACUGCGAGCGUGACGGCGCGAGCAGGUGCGAAAGCAGGUCAUAGUGAUCCGGUGGUUCUGAAUGGAAGGGCCAUCGCUCAACGGAUAAAAGGUACUCCGGGGAUAACAGGCUGAUACCGCCCAAGAGUUCAUAUCGACGGCGGUGUUUGGCACCUCGAUGUCGGCUCAUCACAUCCUGGGGCUGAAGUAGGUCCCAAGGGUAUGGCUGUUCGCCAUUUAAAGUGGUACGCGAGCUGGGUUUAGAACGUCGUGAGACAGUUCGGUCCCUAUCUGCCGUGGGCGCUGGAGAACUGAGGGGGGCUGCUCCUAGUACGAGAGGACCGGAGUGGACGCAUCACUGGUGUUCGGGUUGUCAUGCCAAUGGCACUGCCCGGUAGCUAAAUGCGGAAGAGAUAAGUGCUGAAAGCAUCUAAGCACGAAACUUGCCCCGAGAUGAGUUCUCCCUGACUCCUUGA
rnacentral:rRNA from 1 species